GGCCCCUCGGUCGCCUCAGCCCCCCAGCCCAGUUCGAGUGACCGCCUCCUGCCGCCGAAGGAGGGCAGUCCCCGCCCUCCGGCGCGCCCGGGCCGGCGCCUCGCCACCGACGCCGCCACACCCCCGGCCUCUCCCGGGCCCCAAUAGGCCGUUCCCUCGGCCGCCCCGCCUCCUGCGGCGACUGUCCCUGACGUCACUUCCGCCAACACCGGCGUGUGCCGGGGAGUUCUUGAGUGUGUUUUUGUUCUGUUGGACCUUGACCUGACUAGGAAAUCUUUACACCUUGCAGUUCCCCGCUUCUGGUCCCAAGAGUCUCCGGUGUCGUAGGAGCAAGGCUCAGUUUCCGAACUUUGUACCAAAGCCUUGUGAGCCUCCAGGUCAAGAGGCAUCAGGAGGCUAACAUCAAGCUGGACAUGGGAAACUAAGGAGCAAGUCUAAAACAGCACCUUUCCUGAUCUUAGAAGGAUAAUGUUAAGAAAGCUGAGCGCCGAAGAACUGAUGCUUUUGAACUGUGGUGUUGGAGAAGACUCUUGAGAGUCCCUGGGAC
ensembl:lncRNA